rnacentral:tRNA from 1 species
GGAGGGGUGGCCGAGUGGUCUAAGGCGCACGCUUGGAGUGCGUGUGUACGCCGCAAGCGUACCGUGGGUUCGAAUCCCACCCCCUCCGCCA